GACGAACGCUGGCGGCGUGCUUAACACAUGCAAGUCGAACGAUGAAGCAAAGAAUUUGAGCUUCGGCAGAAAUUCAUUUCGGAUUAGUGGCAGACGGGUGAGUAACGCGUGAGCAACCUACCUCUUACAAAGGGAUAGCCUCGGGAAACCGGGAUUAAUACCAUAUAACAUUGCGACGAAGCAUUUCGAUGCAGUCAAAGCUACUGCGGUAAGAGAUGGGCUCGCGUCCCAUUAACCAGAUGGUGAGGUAACGGCUCACCAGAGUAACGAUGGGUAACCGGCCUGAGAGAGUGGGCGGUGACACUGGAACUGAGACACGGUAGAGACUCCUACGGGAGGCGGCAGUGGGGAAUAUUGCACAAUGGAGGGAGCGCUGAUGCAGCGACGCCGCGUGAGUGAUGAAGGAAGUCGUGUCGUAAAACUCUGUUAUAUGGGAAGAAAAGGACUGUACCAUAGGAGAAAGCCCCGGCUAAAUACGUG
rnacentral:rRNA from 1 species